rnacentral:rRNA from 1 species
UACGUAGGGUGCGAGCGUUGUCCGGAAUUACUGGGCGUAAAGAGCUCGUAGGUGGUUUGUCGCGUUGUUCGUGAAAACUCACAACUCAAUUGUGGGCGUGCGGGCGAUACGGGCAGACUGGAGUACUGCAGGGGGAGACUGGAAUUCCUGGUGUAGCGGUGGAAUGCGCAGAUAUCAGGAGGAACACCGGUGGCGAAGGCGGGUCUCUGGACAGUUCCUGACGCUGAGGCACGAAGGCCAGGGGAGCAAACGGG